CUUAAGAGUUCAGUGCAGGUUCAAGUGGAGAGAUCGACUGUGGAAAUAAGCUUUUAUUCAGUACAAGUAGAUGUGAAAUACCACAUUAAGCAGAAAGAUCUGAGUACCACACUAUGGGGUUUUAACAGUCUGCCCACGAGAGAACCUUGACCAUUUUGCCAGGAUCUUGCUGAUCACCAGAAUUGGGGGAAAAGCACUUAGCAGCUGACCUGAUCAGGACAGAAGGAAGGUGUCGGAAAUCGCACCCUUGCCCAGGCCCCUCCUGGAACAGAACCGGGGGCACCGGCGGUUCUGCCUUGUUGCGAAAAGGUCCACUUGGGGAGUGCCCCACGUUCGGAAGAUCAUGUGAUCCACCUCCAGGGCCUUGCCAUCGAAUGGGAGGUCUUGCAGGGAGCUCUGUGCCUCAUUGGACAACCCGGACAAGAGGAGCCACGACACUCUCCACAUGGACACCGCAGAGGCCAUAGUUCUUGCUGCCAUGUCCAAGGCUGCCUGAAGGGCUGCUCUGGCAGCAGCGGUGCCCUCCUCCAUCAGGGCCUUAUACUCCUUCCUAUCACGCUCCUGGAGGAAGUCUGUAAACUUUGGCAUUAGCCCCACAAGUUAAAAUCGUAUCUGCCCAGCAGGGCGUGGUGGUUUGCCAUCCUCAGCUGGAAGCUUGAAGAAGAAUAAAGCUUUCUACCAAACAA